CCUACGGGGGGCAGCAGUCGAGAAUCAUUCACAAUGGGGGAAACCCUGAUGGUGCGACGCCGCGUGGGGGAAUGAAGGUCUUCGGAUUGUAAACCCCUGUCAUGUGGGAGCAAAUUAAAAAGAUAGUACCACAAGAGGAAGAGACUGCUAACUCGGUGCCAGCAGCCGCGGUAAUACAGAGGUCUCAAUCGUUGUACGGAUUCACUGGGCGUAAAGGGUGCGUAGGCGGGUUGGUAAGUCGUGUGUGAAAGGCGCGGGCUCAACCGGAGGACGGCACAUGAUACUGAGAGACUGGAGUACAGUAGAGGGAACCGGAAUGCGGGGGGUAGCAGUGAAAUGCUUAGAUAUCACGAAGAACCCCGAUGGCGAAGGCAGGUUACUAAAAUGUGACUGACACUGAUGCUCGAAAGCGUGGGGAGCAAACGGGAUUAGAUACCCUAGUAGUC
rnacentral:rRNA from 1 species